UUCAAACCUAAAAGAUAUAUAUUCCAUACCCAAUGUACAUGACUUGCCUCCCCUCAAGAAACAGCCUACAAACACAUAAAGUAGAGUUACACCUUCAAACUGUUAAUAAGGUUACUUGGGUGAACACUUAAGUUUAACUACCAAUAACAAUCUAUCUAUCUACAAAAUUUCUUAUGGUAACUAACAGGAAAUACUAUGUUG
rnacentral:misc_RNA from 1 species